CCAACGCGACGAAACGGUAGGACGAAUGUGACCAUCAAUUCGUUGCACCGUUUCGUCGCGUCUUCUAGACACCGCUACGCGUGCUGCCCCCAAUGGCACCAUUUUUAAUCUUUGGCACUGUCAAUAGCAGACUCUUUUUCAACGAUUUGAAAAAACUUUCCCGGCGAUUCAAAAUUGGGAAAGCAAGUUAAAACAUUAAGUUUAACACGUUCAAAACAAAAUCAACUUCAAAGGCAUUGUUUAAGGGGGUUGAGACAUUAACACAUUAUUACCAAUUAACUGAAGCUUUGGAACUAGCUCAAUCAUCGUAAAAGUUUAAUUAAAUCAUUUAGGAAUGAUCGAAGAGAAUGAUGUGAGGAUGGAAGAUGAAUUUUAUGAUGAUGACAUGGAGCAUGAUGUGAUUGAAACUGGAGAGAUCCUUUCACAACAAAAGUACAAAUCAAAUAGCAUUGUGGUUGGGCAAAAGUUCCCUAAUUACAUAAAAGAACAAAUGGCUGAAAGGACUAAA